rnacentral:tRNA from 1 species
GCUGAGAUGGCGGAGCGGCAAUCGCGGCAGACUGUAAAUCUGUCGCCCUGACGGGCUACCCAGGUUCGAAUCCUGGUCUCAGCA